rnacentral:lncRNA from 1 species
UAUUACUGGAAUAGCCACAGACAUAACAAUGUUAGAGUAUCCUAAACCAAAUAUUUUUGGAUCUAGGGAUUUGAGACAUUUUUUAAAUGUAUAAGGGAAUAAUACUUAGGAGGGUAGUGGUAUUGCUUGUACAUAACCUACACUUGAUGAUGUGUGUUGUACUGUUCCAGGCAGAACAGCUUUACUGAACUCAGUGAUCCAUCUUUGAUUUUUGUGAUUCUGUCUUUCCUUCCACACAUUCUCCUUUCAAUUUAUUUAAAAAAAUAAUACCUGAUUUAUUUAAUUGGAACGUAUUCCUUUAAUUAAACUUGGAAAUACUGUUGAGAGUGGAAAUACUCUUGAGAAAAAUACUAACUGUAUUUCCUAGAUUAGCUUAUUACUUUUUAUGGGAACUUGCAAAAGAGGAAAAAAAAGCUAACUAACAACCAUUUGAAAUGAAAUCCCUUAGUCUUCAUGGAUAAGUAUUUUCCUGUAAAUAUUUGAUUCUCCAUUUACCCACUGUAUGUCCAGUAAAAACAAGGGAUGGAAAGUGGCCAUUUCGGUGACCUUGUGUCCCUCCCUUAGAGGAAGGCAGCUGACAGAAUUGCUUGUGAAUUAUUUGAUGAGGAAAGUUACAGUGUUGCACAACCUUUGUAACCAGGUUUGGAUAAAAUAA